rnacentral:lncRNA from 1 species
AACAAAACAAAUUAUGGCUAAAACUCUCAUGUUUUUUCAAAUUAUGUUUACUUUUAUUUUUAUAUUUACCAUUGUAAUUGAAGGCCUCCUCCCUAGUAAGAUCGAAUUUUUUUCCGUCAAAUUUUCUUUAUAUGUUUUAUUCCCUAUUAUUAACAUUCGUUUUUUCUUAUUUGACAUCGCAGAAUAUAAUUUCAAUAAGAAGUGUUUUAAUGACAAGGAUUGCCCUAAAUUUCUAUGUAUACCUCCUAGUGUUCCAAAGUGCUUAAGGAACCAUUGUCGAUGUGAUGACAAUUGAAUCGCAUCCUCAAAAGUUAUAAAAAAUGGUCAUUAGUGCUACCGUUAUUGAUAAUAAUUUUACCUUCCCCACUUUUUGAUCAAGUUCAAAAAUAUAUUUGUGGUACUUCUAAGAGUAUAAUUGUAUUUGUAAAGUUGGUACUUUUAUGCUUUAUUUCACCCUUCCAUAUUUGUUAGUUAAACCUUUAAAAUUUAUUUGUUUGACUCAUAAGUAUAUUAUUGUAUUAUGCAAGUGUUGUUACAUAUUCCUUUGCUUUUAGAAGUUAUCAAGAAUAAACUACACAAAUAUAACCGUAACAUUCUUCAAAAUAUAUAUACAUCUGGAGUAGUAAACAAAGGCAAUAUAUGCUCAAAUGUAGUAUAAUUAUUCUAUUUAAAUAUAGUAUGAUUAAAUAAAAAUGUGAACUUUAAUUGAAUUGAUAAAAUUAUCGAAAAGAGCUAAAUUUCAUGAUUGACAAUGGGUAGGGGUAUGAGUAUGAUACUAUAGUAUUCAUUUUCAUACCCGCAGUUUGAAAAAAUACUCGUACUCAACCUCAUAUACUCGUGUGGGUAAAAACCUUUGUACCCGUACUCGUAUCACUACAAGAAAAACAUACAUUUGCGGCGGCCAAAAGCCCACGCAAAGGCACAAAAAGCCAACACAGAGGAUUAUUUGCGGCGGAAAUUUGUCACGGGAAAACUGGGGUAGAAAAUAGUUGCGGUUAUUUUGCAAAAGGCAGCCGCAAAUGUGUCUGUCAGAUCAUUGCGUCGGUUACUUUCUGCCGCAAACUUUGAUGGGAAUUUCAAAAUUCAGAUACGUUUGCAUGGCAAUAAAACCGACGGAACACUGUGCCCAGUUUGAUUAAGCCAGACCUAGUGCGGCGGACAGAAGGCCGCCGGAAAUGCCAAGUAAUUAAAAAAAUUAAUUUAUCAUCAAAUUUUAAAAAUCAAUUUAUCAUCUUCUUCAUUUUUGUUGAUUUAUCAAAUUUUAUGAUCAAAUUCAUUUUUAUCGUUGUUGAUUUAUCUUCUUCAUUCUUUGUUUUUACAUAAUUUUCAAUAAACUUAUGUUUUGCUUCGGUACAUCAAAAAAUAUUCUUAACAGUAUUUCUUUUUAGUUAACAUUAUUUUUAGAUUUAGAACUAAAAAAAAAACUACAUGACUAAAUAGACACUUCAUUUUUGUACAAAAAAAAUUAGAUACUUCAUUUAGGUUAUCAAUUCAUUCACAUAAUCAAACCAAAUAGAUCCAUUGUUGCUAUUGUUGUUUUAUAAAGAAAAUAAAAUCCAUAUGAGAAGUAAAAGAAAAAUCUUCUGCCCAACAAUAGAUCCAAAAAUUAAUAUGGAAUAAUCUAUUAAUAUUUGAAAAAGAAAUGUUUAGAAAGAUGAAAUACUUAAAAAAAAAAUUCAUAAUCAUGUAAAAAAAACUACAGAAGCGUGUUUACAAUAAAUUUUUCUUUUUCUUAUAUGAUACAAAUUUUUAGAUUCAAACCCAAAUUCGGAUUUGUUGUUCUUGUUGUUGUUUGCAUGAUAUAGUGUAGAAGAAGAACACACACAGCAGAAGUAGCCAUUUGUUUUUGGACAGUGAAUGUUUUUGGACAACAUUACGAUGCCAACCUUUUGAACUCUUUUUGUUUAUUAAUUUCUUAAAAAAAAUAUGGAUGAUAUACAACGGUGAAUUUUGUAAAAUUCGUAUUCGUUAUAAUAGUAUUCAUGACUUGUGCACCAUGAAAAACUUGGUAAAGUAUUUCACCGUAGAUUUGGCCUAAAUAUUCGUCCAAUAAAAAAAAUCACAUGAAAUUUCUUUUCUUUUUUUUUUGUGUGAAGUAUUUUGUUUUUAAUUCUAACUAGUUUAGACAUCCACGGGCUAGAAUUUCGUCUUAUUUAAAAUUAUUUUAACUUAUCACAUAUUAUCAUUAUUUGUAAAGUAUUAAUUUUUGUCAAAAAAAAUAUCUAUAAAGUAUUAAUUAAUAUCAUAUAUUGUCCGCAUAUUUUUUUAUUUUAUUUUUUGGUGAACCAAAUAUAUAUUUCGCAUUAAACUGCUGAGACUAAUCCACUCGAAGUAACUGAGAUCCAUUUAAAAGGUUGAGAUACAUUUAUAGGGUAUUUUUAUUUAUUGAGGUGUUUUAUUUUUUCCACGGUUAGAUUUAAAAUAAUAGCUAGGAUUAAUUGUUGAAAGAGAUUGAGACAAAUUGAGAUUAAGAGGAUCCAAAUCCGGAAUAAUCAAUGCGUUAUUCCGGCAACCAUAAUUUUGUUCACAUGUAUAUCAUGAAAGGAUAAAAGAGUAACAAAAAGAAUAAUUUCCAGGUGUGAUAAAAUCGGUGUGCCGACAAUCAAUCCUUAGUUGGUUUAGUGGUGAUUGACGCUGAACUUGGUAGAGAGGACUACGGUUCGAUCCCCAGCAACUGCGAUCAGGAGGGAGUUUGAACAACUUGAUACCAGAACUGACUCCCGAACUAGAUUAAACUGGUGGUGAAAGAAAAAAAAAAUCAAUGUGCUGACAAACACAACAUAUCAAUGCACCCAAGAGACAUUUAAUGAUAAUUCUAAUUUUAAUAAUUGGGGUUUUCACACUAUAAAAUGAUCAUACAAUUUUUAAACUUUACACGCAAACAAAACAAAUUAUGGCUAAAAAAACUCUCAUGUUUUUUCAAAUUAUGUUUACUUUUAUUUUUAUAUUUACCAUUGUAAUUGAAGGCUUCCCUAGUAAGAUCGUUUUUUUUUCCUUCAAAUUUUUUUUAUAUGUUUUAUUCCCUAUUAUUAACAUUCGUUUUUUCUUAUUUGACAUCACAGAAUUUAAUUCCGAUCAGAAGUGUUAUGGUGACAAGGAUUGCCCUAAAUUUCUGUGUAUGCCUCCUAGUGUUCCAAAGUGCUUAAGGAACCAUUGUCGAUGUGUUGACAAUUGAAUCUCAUCCUCAAAAGUUGUAAAAAUGGUCAUUAGUGCUACCGUUAUUGAUAAUAAUUUUACCUUCCCCAUUUUUUGAUCAAGUUCAAAAAUAUAUUUGUGGUACUUCUAAGAGUAUAUAAUUUUAUUUGUAAUUAUAAUGUUGGUACUUUUAUGCUUUAUUUCACCCUUCAAUAUUUGUUAGUUAAACCUUUAAAAUUUAUUUGUUUGACUCAAAAGUAUAAUAUUGUAUUAUGCAAGUGUUGUUACAUAUUCCUUUGCUUUUAGAAGUUAUCAAGAAUAAACUACACAA